UAUUAAAUAAAUAGUUUCUGGAUAACCAUCAUUCCCCAAAGACUUCCAUUAAGCCAUCUCAAAAACUGAUUUUCUUACUUCUUCCACCUUCAACUCCUCAUUCAGCUUACUCAUGACAUUAUCAUCGAUUUUUGGAAAUGACUGAGUUGUUGGAACCCAAGCUGCUACCUCAACUUCUGAUGUAACUUCUUAUAUAACUUCUGAUAGUAAGAUUUAAACAGACUUUUAAAUUCUUCAGCAUCAUCAACCCAUGUGCCGUUUGAAUUUUUGAGGCAUUGAAUGAUCUUCCUUCUACGCCUUUGAACUGAUUUGACAUGAAUAUUUAGGUGUAUUUCUACUGGUGUUAGCAGUGGAUGGUGAUCAAAGAAAUCAAGACACAUAAGCACCUUAACUUGCGCAUCUAUUGCAGAAGCCAAAUAUCAUUGCUCAGCAUUCUGUCAAGUCUUUCCUAUAUUCUUAGACCUCAAUGACGCAUAUGACCUCCCUUUCAUAUAUUCUUAGACCUCCAUGACGCAUAUGACCUCCCGGUUGAAUUGUAAUUCCUUCUGUCAAAAUAGGUUGUUCGACAGAGUAAGGAAGUAUCGAACCACCUAGUGUAUCGAGUUGUGUUAGUGUGUCGAAGUGUCGAAGCAUGUUGUUUUACACAGGAUUCCGACUUAUGCCUUCUUUUAAUAGUUUUAGCUAUUUUGGAUUUUUAUAGUUUUGAGUUUUGACUUGAGAUCCAAGUUAACUUAAAUUUAUAAAUAGAGGAAGUAACCCUUAUUUUUGUAAUGAAGUGAAUAGAGUAUUUAUAACAUUGUAUUCAUUAUAUUUUACAGUUGUAAAGUGAAUAAGAAGUUUUCCACAGUUUCUGGACCGAGAGAAACUCUGCAGAA